AGAGGGUUAGAGGGUUUGUGGGUUAGAGGGUUAAGGGGUUAGAGGGUUAGGGGGUUAGGGGGUUAGCUGUAUCUUGUGUUGUCUUGGUUAGGAGGUUAGGGGGUUAGCUUUACAUUGUCUAUGGUUAGGGUUAGGGGGUUAGCUGUACCUUGUGUUGUCUAGGUUAGGGUUAGGGGGUUAGCUUUACAUUGUCUAGGUUAGGGUUAGGGGGUUAGCUGUACCUUGUGUUGUCUAGGAUAGGGGGUUAGCUGUACAUUGUCUAGGUUAGGGUUAGGGGGUUAGCUGUACCUUGUGUUGUCUAGGUUAGGGGGUUAGCUGUACCUUGUGUUGUCUAGGUUAGGGGGUUAGCUGUACCUUGUGUUGUCUAGGUUAGGAGGUUAGCUGUACCUUGUGUUGUCUAGGUUAGGGGGUUAGCUGUACCUUGUGUUGUCUAGGUUAGGGGGUUAGCUGUACCUUGUGUUGUCUAGGUUAGGGGGUUAGCUGUACCUUGUGUUGUCUAGGUUAGGGGGUUAGCUGUACCUUGUGUUGUCUAGGUUAGGGGGUUAGCUGUACCUUGUGUUGUCUAGGUUAGGAGGUUAGCUGUACCUUGUGUUGUCUAGGUUAGGGGGUUAGCUGUACCUUGUGUUGUCUAGGUUAGGGGGUUAGCUGUACCUUGUGUUGUCUAGGUUAGGAGGUUAGCUGUACCUUGUGUUGUCUAGGUUAGGGGGUUAGCUGUACCUUGUGUUGUCUAGGUUACGGGGUUAGCUGUACCUUGUGUUGUCUAGGUUAGGGGGUUAGCUGUACUUUGUGUUGUCUAGGUUAGGGGGUUAGCUGUACCUUGUGUUGUCUAGGUUACGGGGUUAGCUGUACCUUGUGUUGUCUAGGUUAGGGGGUUAGCUGUACCUUGUGUUGUCUAGGUUAGGAGGUUAGCUGUACCUUGUGUUGUCUAGGUUAGGGGGUUAGCUGUACCUUGUGUUGUCUAGGUUAGGGGGUUAGCUGUACCUUGUGUUGUCUAGGUUAGGAGGUUAGCUGUACCUUGUGUUGUCUAGGUUAGGGGGUUAGCUGUACCUUGUGUUGUCUAGGUUAGGGGGUUAGCUGUACCUUGUGUUGUCUAGGUUACGGGGUUAGCUGUACCUUGUGUUGUCUAGGUUAGGGGGUUAGCUGUACCUUGUGUUGUCUAGGUUAGGGGGUUAGCUGUACCUUGUGUUGUCUAGGUUAGGGGGUUAGCUGUACCUUGUGUUGUCUAGGUUAGGGGGUUAGCUGACCUUGUGUUGUCUAGGUUAGGGGGUUACGGGGUUAGGGG